rnacentral:tmRNA from 2 species
GGGGGCGUAUGGACUCGACGGGGGUAACGAAGCUUAGGUGGCAUGUCGUGGUGCCGUUACCACGUAAAAAAGCGGCAAAAAAACACAAACGCCAAUAACGAACUGGCACUCGCUGCGUAAAUAACGCAGUGCACUGUCUGCGAGAUGUCUGCUAUCGCAGAACAGUGACGGCAAGCAGGCUGGUCCUUUCACCAUUCCCCCAGGUGAGGGAUGAGAUUUCCGGGGGAUAGGGUUUCGACAGGCCUGUCUGGCGGCAUGUCGCGACCCGAAAUUAAAUAGUCAGACUAAACAUGUAGACUCCUGAGUGUAGUACUGCCGGACGUGGGUUCGAUUCCCACCGCCUCCACCA